rnacentral:rRNA from 1 species
GAGUUUGAUCCUGGCUCWKGACGAACGCUGGCGGCACGCCUAACACAUGCAAGUCGAACGGAGAUAUUUUGGUUUAMKGAGAUAUCUUAGUGGCGGACGGGUGAGUAACACGUGAGCAACCUGCCUCUGAGAGAGGGAUAGCUUCUGGAAACGGAUGGUAAUACCUCAUAACAUAACGAAGCCGCAUGACUUUGUUAUCAAAGAUUUAUCACUCAGAGAUGGGCUCGCGUCUGAUUAGAUAGUUGGUGAGGUAACGGCCCACCAAGUCGACGAUCAGUAGCCGGACUGAGAGGUUGAACGGCCACAUUGGGACUGAGACACGGCCCAGACUCCUACGGGAGGCAGCAGUGGGGAAUAUUGCACAAUGGGGGAAACCCUGAUGCAGCGAUGCCGCGUGGAGGAAGAAGGUUUUCGGAUUGUAAACUCCUGUCUUAAAGGACGAUAAUGACGGUACUUUASGAGGAAGCUCCGGCUAACUACGUGCCMSCWGCCGCGG